rnacentral:rRNA from 1 species
UACGUAGGUGACAAGCGUUAUCCGGAUUUAUUGGGCGUAAAGCGCACGCAGGCGGCGGAUUAAGUCUGACGUGAAAUCUCUCGGCUUAACCGGGAGCGGUCGUUGGAAACUAAUCGGCUUGAGGCGAUGAGAGGGGUGUGGAAUUCCGGUGUAGUGGUGGAAUGCGUAGAUAUCGGGAGGAACAUCAGUGGCGAAAGCGGCACCCUGGCAUUAGCCUGACGCUCAGGUGCGAAAGCGUGGGGAGCGAACAGG